rnacentral:rRNA from 1 species
UACGUAGGGGGCUAGCGUUGUCCGGAAUCAUUGGGCGUAAAGCGCGCGUAGGCGGCCAGAUAAGUCCGGUGUGAAAGUCACAGGCUCAACCUGUGAAUGCCGCUGGAAACUGUCUGGCUAGAGUCCGGAAGGGGCGAGUGGAAUUCAUGGUGUAGCAGUGAAAUGCGUAGAGAUCAUGAGGAAGACCAGUGGCGAAGGCGGGUCUCUGGACAGUUCCUGACACUGAGGCACGAAGGCCAGGGGAGCAAACGGG